UCCCUGUGUCCCCAGCCAGCAGAAGGUGGACCUGCCGGUCACUGACAAUGUGUCACCCUGUCCCUGUCACCCUGUCCCUGUGUCCCCAGCCAGCAGAAGGUGGACCUGCCGGUCACUGACAACGUCCAGUGUCACUCUGUCCCUGUCACUCUGUCACUCUGUCCCUGUCCCCACCCCCCCCCCCCCCCCCCCCCCCCCCCCCCCCCCCCCCCCCCCCCCCCCCCCCCCCCCCCCCCCCCCCCC
rnacentral:lncRNA from 12 species